UGGAAUGGGUAAUGACUUAAACCUAUAUGGCCCCUGGAUUGGACUGCGGCCGAUCAGGCUGUUGGUGAGGUAAUGGCCCACCAAACCUGUAACCGGUACGGGCUCUGAGAGGAGGAGCCCGGAGAUGGGCACUGAGACAAGGGCCCAGGCCCUAUGGGGCGCAGCAGGCGCGAAACCUCUGCAAUAGGCGAAAGCUUGACAGGGUUACUCUGAGUGAUUUCCGUUAAGGAGAUCUUUUGGCACCUCUAAAAAUGGUGCAGAAUAAGGGGUGGGCAAGUCUGGUGUCAGCCGCCGCGGUAAUACCAGCACCCCGAGUGGUCGGGACGUUUAUUGGGCCUAAAGCAUCCGUAGCCGGUUCUACAAGUCUUCCGUUAAAUCCACCUGCUUAACAGAUGGGCUGCGGAAGAUACUAUAGAGCUAGGAGGCGGGAGAGGCAAGCGGUACUCGAUGGGUAGGGGUAAAAUCCGUUGAUCCAUUGAAGACCACCAGUGGCGAAGGCGGCUUGCCAGAACGCGCUCGACGGUGAGGGAUGAAAGCUGGGGGAGCAAACCGGAUUAGAUACCCGGGUAGUCCCAGCUGUAAACGAUGCAGACUCGGUGAUGAAUUGGCUUAUUGCUAAUUCAGUGCCGCAGGGAAGCCGUUAAGUUUGCCGCCUGGGGAGUACGGUCGCAAGACUGAAACUUAA
rnacentral:rRNA from 2 species